AAGCUCAAAGGAGAAGAGGUUUUGUCAAAGGAAAAUAUUGUGGAGCCGAUGCGAGAUAUUAGGAGAGCUCUUCUGGAGGCCGAUGUAAGCCUUCCUGUUGUACGAAGGUUUGUGCAAGCUGUCAGUGACCAAGCUGUUGGUGUUGGUGUGAUUCGAGGAGUGAGACCUGAUCAACAAUUGGUUAAGAUUGUACACGAUGAGCUUGUG
rnacentral:misc_RNA from 1 species